rnacentral:rRNA from 1 species
CCCGCUGAACUUAAGCAUAUCAAUAAGCGGAGGAAAAGAAACCAACAGGGAUUGCCUCAGUAACGGCGAGUGAAGCGGCAAAAGCUCAAAUUUGAAAUCCUUCGGGAAUUGUAAUUUGAAGGGUUCAACACUUGGUGGCCAGCAGUUUAAGUCCCUUGGAACAGGGCGCCUGGGAGGGUGAGAGCCCCGUGAAACUGCUUCCCGCUACCUCUAUGUGUUUUUCCCGACGAGUCGAGUUGUUUGGGAAUGCAGCUCAAAGUGGGUGGUAAAUUCCAUCUAAAGCUAAAUAUUGGCGAGAGACCGAUAGCGAACAAGUACAGUGAUGGAAAGAUGAAAAGCACUUUGAAAAGAGAGUGAAACAGUACGUGAAAUUGUUGAAAGGGAAGGGCUUGCAAGCAGACACGGUCCUCGGACCGGGCCAGCAUCGGGUGGGAGAGAUGGACAAGGCCGCGGGAAUGUAGCUUUUGUUUCGGCAAAAGUAUUAUAGCCCGCGGAGAUACAUCUACCCUCGCCCGAGGCCUGCGACAUCUGUCUAGGAUGCUGGCGUAAUGGUUGCAAGCCGCCCGUCUUGAAACACGGACCAAGGAGUCUAACGUCUAUGCGAGUGUUUGGGUGAAUAAAACCCCCGGCGCGGAAUGAAAGUAAGAGGUUGGGGCCCGCAAGGGUGCACAAUCGACCGACCCUGAUGUUUUCGGACGGGUUUGAGUAGGAGCAUAGCUGUUGGGACCCGAAAGAUGGUGAACUAUGCCUGGAUAGGGUGAAGCCAGAGGAAACUCUGGUGGAGGCUCGUAGCGGUUCUGACGUGCAAAUCGAUCGUCGAAUCUGGGUAUAGGGGGCGAAAGACUAAUCGAACCAUCUAGUAGCUGGGUCCCUGCCGAG